CGCAAUUGUUCUCAACACCGGUGUUACUCUCUCUCGUACCGAAUUGGAGUCGGAGUAGGGAAGGCUUUCGAACUACAUUUGAACUCUCCGGGAAAGAUGGCACGUAUGAUCCGAACCCCGCGACGGAGUGAUCGUGAUAGACUUAGGGCACAAAGGGUGCUCAGAGAGUAUAGAGUGUAUCGGAAGAAGGAUCACAUACCGUUGAUCGAGUUCGUAGCACACUUCGACACCCUCUGGAGGGCAGCUCAGGAGUUCGGAGUGACAGAGCAUGACGGCAUUGAGAAGCUAAUAGAAUUGCUCCCUGA